CCUACGGGGGGCAGCAGUGAGGAAUAUUGGUCAAUGGGCGCGAGCCUGAACCAGCCAAGUAGCGUGAAGGAUGACUGCCUUACGGGUUGUAAACUUCUUUUAUAAAGGAAUAAAGUGAGGCACGUGUGCCUUUUUGUAUGUACUUUAUGAAUAAGGAUCGGCUAACUCCGUGCCAGCAGCCGCGGUAAUACGGAGGGUCCGAGCGGUAUCCGGAUUUAGUGGGAUUAAAGGGAGAGUAGAUGGGUUGUUAAGUCAGUUGUGAAAGUUUAUGGCUCAACCGUAAAAUUGCAAUUGAUACUGGCAGCCUUGAGUACAGUUGAGGUAGGCGGAAUUCGUGGUGUAGCGGUGACAUGCUUAGAUAUCACGAAGAACUCCGAUUGCGAAGGCAGCCUACUAAACUGCCACUGACAUUGAUGCUCGAAAGUGUGGCUAUCAAACAGGAGUAGAUACCCCUGUAGUC
rnacentral:rRNA from 1 species